UACGUAGGGGGCUAGCGUUGUCCGGAAUCACUGGGCGUAAAGCGCACGUAGGCGGAUCGUUAAGUCAGGGGUGAAAUCCUGGAGCUCAACUCCAGAACUGCCUUUGAUACUGGCGACCUUGAGUUCGGGAGAGGUGAGUGGAACUGCGAGUGUAGAGGUGAAAUUCGUAGAUAUUCGCAAGAACACCAGUGGCGAAGGCGGCUCACUGGCCCGAUACUGACGCUGAGGCACGAAAGCGUGGGGAGCAAACAGG
rnacentral:rRNA from 1 species